rnacentral:rRNA from 1 species
AGGGGAAUAUUGCACAAUGGGCGCAAGCCUGAUGCAGCCAUGCUGCGUGUAUGAAGAAGGCCUUCGGGUUGUAAAGUACUUUCAGUCGGGAGGAAGGUGGUAAGGUUAAUAACCUUAUCAAUUGACGUUACCGACAGAAGAAGCACAGGCUAACUCCGUGCCAGCAGCCGCGGUAAUACGGAGGGUGCAAGCGUUAACCGGAAUUACUGGGCGUAAAGCGCACGCAGGCGGUUGAUUGAGUCAGAUGUGAAAUCCCCGGGCUUAAACCGGGAAUUGCAUCUGAUACUGGUCAUCUAGAGUCUGGUAGAGGGGGAUAGAAUUCCAUGUGUAGCGGUGAAAUGCGUAGAGAUGUGAAGGAAUACCGGUGGCAAAGGCGGCCCCCUGGACAAAGACUGACGCUCAGGUGCGAAAGCGUGGGGAGCAAACAGG